UACGAAGGGGGCUAGCGUUGCUCGGAUUGACUGGGCGUAAAGGGCGCGUAGGCGGUUCGUACAGUCAGACGUGAAAUCCCCCGGGCUUAAACUUGGGAAUUGCGCUCGAAACUACGGUGCUGGAGUGUGGCAGAGGGAGGUGGAAUUCCACGUGUAGCGGUGAAAUGCGUAGAGAUGUGGAGGAACACCGAUGGCGAAGGCAGCCUCCUGGGCCAACACUGACGCUCAUGCACAAAAGCGUGGGGAGCAAACAGG
rnacentral:rRNA from 1 species